AAGGCCAGCCCGGCAAAGCAUGUAGCAUGGAGGCUACUACUUUCUUAAUUUUGCAGACAAGCACAACACAUUUCUGAGAGGUUAAGAGAGAACUGACCAAACUCAUACAGCUCUUAAUGUCAGGGUGGGAAGUAUUCCAGUAUCCAGAUGCUAAACCCGGGGAUCGCCUUGGUCCACAUGCUGUCUUCUCACACCUGCCCACGACCUCAGUCUGCAGACAGCAGGUUUCACACUGAGGAUGCAGAGGCCCUAGUAUCACACCUAGAAAAGGCAUCUGCAGCUGCCUAAGGAAGAAAGUCUUGGUGACAUUUUCAUCUACCUUCUAUGACCUUCUGCCUCCUCUCCAUCCUGUCUCUGAGACUCCCACUUGAGAUGUUGUGAAUAACAAUAGCAUUUAUGCUUUUAGGGAUUUUGCAUUUCAUAGCAUUUUGACAGUGGAGGGAGACAAAUAUCAAAUUCCAUGACAGAGAGAUUGCAAGACACAACCAUCAAGAAGUCAGGAAAUACAGCAAACGUGUAUAGUAUGCCCAUCUGUAAAAUACGCAGGUGUGCCAGGGAUAGGUGAGGCAUACACAUAUAAUAUAUGUAAAAUGCACACAGAAUCAUCUGAAGGGAGAUACGUCCUAACAGUUGACAGCAGUUAUUCUGGAGGAGGAGAACACAGGGAAGAUUGGUGAGGAAGGGGGAGUUUUAAAUUUUACUCCUUAUCCUUCUGUAUUGUUAAUAUUUUUGAAACCACAAACAUGUAUUAAAUUAUUUUUCCAUUGAGAAAAUAAACAUAGUUUGGCAAGAAUCUAGAAGUCUAUAAGAGUAUGGGCACUGGGGUAGAUUGACGUGCUUGAAUAAUUGUCUGCUAACAAAUCUGAAAUGAGGACAGCAGGCCUGAGUCUGAUGAAAAUUUCCCUCAUUGGUACUGUGUACCACCGUGAGUGUGUUCCCAUCAAAUGGAUGCGGGAAUACCUCCCACAGCACACCUCCGGAACUCUACGCUCUCAGAGGUCUAUGGGAUAACAGCUGCUUUGGAAAAAUUCACUGAUAUGUCCAAUCUUUAUACCUGGUUGGUACAAAGGUUGGGCAGGUAGUUCUUUGCUCAAAUUAUGACAUGCUCAGGGAAAGAGCCAUAAACAGGAUUAGCAGGUGGAUAUUUAACUCUCACUUGGGAACAAAUUGAUUUCAAGUUAUUUUAGUUGUACCCAUUUUCAUGCAAAUGUUCACAGUGUGAAUUAGUCUCAGUCCACAUCAUUUCAUUAAAGUUGAUCCGAUCAUACCUCUAUUGGGCAUACUUUGCUACUCAAGUGUUUAUGCAAUGGAAUACAUUAAAAGUAAUAAAAUGACACUUAAAACACUCUAUAAUUCAGAUUGUCAAUGUUUAGCUGUCUUGAAAAUCCCGGAUAAUUUAGGAUUUUCUAGAUUAUAGUACUGUUUGCUAGUUGCCAUCCAAUGAAUUUGAAAACAAACCAAAAAAAAAAAGCCCUGACAUUUUCUCAGACAUUUUUGGGUUUUGAAAAGAUUACAGAAACAACCCCAGAAAUAGUGUACAUGAGUCAGAAUACUGGAUGCGCUUUAAACAAAGGCUAAUCUCAUAGUAUUUGUAAUCCACAAAAUCUAUCUGAGAGCAGAGGUUUUAGGAGACUGGAAUGGGUGGCUUCUCCUUGGGAGAGGGCAUUGGGAAGGCUGGUCAUUGGAAGUCUUUGUUUCCUUUCAUUCCAGGUGGCAGCUGAUGUCCCACGGAGAGGUACCCAAAUGACCAGAUGAAUGUGAAACAGUUCAGAACCAAGUUCUCACAAAUGCUGGCAUCCCUGUGGAUGACAAGAGGCAGAUGGUGAAACUCCGAAUUCACAAAUAAGAAAACCAAGGUACAGAAGACCAACCAGGUGACUUGCCCAAGCUCACGUUUCAUGUGUGUGGAAGAAGUAGUGCUGAAAUCCAUGCCUCUGGACUCAACUCAAUGUUCUUCUCUUUCCCAUAACACACUGACUUUGAGGUAGGCCAGUAAGCAACAUAUUUUCACAAGAGGAAACUCUUCUCGAAAACCUGAUAAUAAUUCCCUUUCUCAUAUACUGGUUGUCUGUUCAGAUUCUUCCAUUGCUCUUUUUUCUUGUUUGCAGAUUAACAUCACUCAUGGCAAUAAGGAGGAUAUAUGUAACAGAAGAAAGUGAAUCAAGUAAUAGAAACCCUUGGAAUUUGGGAAAUUAAUAUUUUUCUGCGCCAAAGUUGAUAAAAUGCUAUAUUUAUUU